AAAUUGAAGAGUUUGAUCAUGGCUCAGAUUGAACGCUGGCGGCAGGCCUAACACAUGCAAGUCGAGCGGCAGCGGAAAGUAGCUUGCUACUUUGCCGGCGAGCGGCGGACGGGUGAGUAAUGUCUGGGAAACUGCCUGAUGGAGGGGGAUAACUACUGGAAACGGUAGCUAAUACCGCAUAACGUCGCAAGACCAAAGAGGGGGACCUUCGGGCCUCUUGCCAUCAGAUGUGCCCAGAUGGGAUUAGCUAGUAGGUGGGGUAACGGCUCACCUAGGCGACGAUCCCUAGCUGGUCUGAGAGGAUGACCAGCCACACUGGAACUGAGACACGGUCCAGACUCCUACGGGAGGCAGCAGUGGGGAAUAUUGCACAAUGGGCGCAAGCCUGAUGCAGCCAUGCCGCGUGUAUGAAGAAGGCCUUCGGGUUGUAAAGUACUUUCAGCGGGGAGGAAGGUGCUGAGGUUAAUAACCUCAGCAAUUGACGUUACCCGCAGAAGAAGCACCGGCUAACUCCGUGCCAGCAGCCGCGGUAAUACGGAGGGUGCAAGCGUUAAUCGGAAUUACUGGGCGUAAAGCGCACGCAGGCGGUCUGUCAAGUCGGAUGUGAAAUCCCCGGGCUCAACCUGGGAACUGCAUUCGAAACUGGCAGGCUAGAGUCUUGUAGAGGGGGGUAGAAUUCCAGGUGUAGCGGUGAAAUGCGUAGAGAUCUGGAGGAAUACCGGUGGCGAAGGCGGCCCCCUGGACAAAGACUGACGCUCAGGUGCGAAAGCGUGGGGAGCAAACAGGAUUAGAUACCCUGGUAGUCCACGCCGUAAACGAUGUCGACUUGGAGGUUGUGCCCUUGAGGCGUGGCUUCCGGAGCUAACGCGUUAAGUCGACCGCCUGGGGAGUACGGCCGCAAGGUUAAAACUCAAAUGAAUUGACGGGGGCCCGCACAAGCGGUGGAGCAUGUGGUUUAAUUCGAUGCAACGCGAAGAACCUUACCUACUCUUGACAUCCAGAGAACUUAGCAGAGAUGCUUUGGUGCCUUCGGGAACUCUGAGACAGGUGCUGCAUGGCUGUCGUCAGCUCGUGUUGUGAAAUGUUGGGUUAUCGCGAGAGCAAGCGGACCUCAUAAAGUGCGUCGUAGUCCGGAUUGGAGUCUGCAACUCGACUCCAUGAAGUCGGAAUCGCUAGUAAUCGUAGAUCAGAAUGCUACGGUGAAUACGUUCCCGGGCCUUGUACACACCGCCCGUCACACCAUGGGAGUGGGUUGCAAAAGAAGUAGGUAGCUUAACCUUCGGGAGGGCGCUUACCACUUUGUGAUUCAUGACUGGGGUGAAGUCGUAACAAGGUAACCGUAGGGGAACCUGCGGUUGGAUCACCUCCUUA
rnacentral:rRNA from 1 species